rnacentral:rRNA from 8 species
GGGUUGUGAGGUUAAGCGACUAAGCGUACACGGUGGAUGCCCUGGCAGUCAGAGGCGAUGAAGGGCGUGCUAAUCUGCGAUAAGCGCCGGUAAGGUGAUAUGAACCGUUAUAACCGGCGAUACCCGAAUGGGGAAACCCAGUGUGACUCGUCACACUAUCAUUAACUGAAUCCAUAGGUUAAUGAGGCGAACCGGGGGAACUGAAACAUCUAAGUACCCCGAGGAAAAGAAAUCAACCGAGAUUCCCCCAGUAGCGGCGAGCGAACGGGGAGGAGCCCAGAGCCUGAAUCAGCAUGUGUGUUAGUGGAAGCGUCUGGAAAGGCGCGCGAUACAGGGUGACAGCCCCGUACACAAAAGCGCAUGUGCUGUGAGCUCGAUGAGUAGGGCGGGACACGUGGUAUCCUGUCUGAAUAUGGGGGGACCAUCCUCCAAGGCUAAAUACUCCUGACUGACCGAUAGUGAACCAGUACCGUGAGGGAAAGGCGAAAAGAACCCCGGCGAGGGGAGUGAAAAAGAACCUGAAACCGUGUACGUACAAGCAGUGGGAGCAC